rnacentral:rRNA from 1 species
UACGUAGGUGGCAAGCGUUGUCCGGAAUUAUUGGGCGUAAAGCGCGCGCAGGCGGUCCUUUAAGUCUGAUGUGAAAGCCCACGGCUCAACCGUGGAGGGUCAUUGGAAACUGGGGGACUUGAGUACAGAAGAGGAGAGUGGAAUUCCACGUGUAGCGGUGAAAUGCGUAGAGAUGUGGAGGAACACCAGUGGCGAAGGCGACUCUGUGGUCUGUAACUGACGCUGAGGCGCGAAAGCGUGGGGAGCAAACAGG